CGGGAUGUGGCGCAGCCUGGUAGCGCGCGCCCUUGGGGUGGGCGAGGUCGCAAGUUCGAGUCUUGUCAUCCCGACCA
rnacentral:tRNA from 1 species